rnacentral:tRNA from 1 species
CGUCGCGCUGGCGUACGCGCUGCCGCUCGGCGCGAUCGUCGCCGACAGCGGCCUGUUCGGUCCGGGCGGUGACGCC